rfam:Triticum aestivum genome assembly, contig: Triticum_aestivum_CS42_TGACv1_scaffold_572287_7AS
UAUGUACUCCCUCCGUCCGAAAAUACUUGUCGAAGAAAUGCAUAAAAAUGAAUGUAUCUAGAACUAGAAUACAACUAGAUACAUCCAUUCCUCCGACGAGUAUUUCCGGACGGAGGGAGUAUUUA